ACGGGAGGCAGCAGUGGGGGAUAUUGCACAAUGGGCGAAAGCCUGAUGCAGCAACGCCGCGUGAGGGAAGACGGUUUUCGGAUUGUAAACCUCUGUCUUUGGUGAAGAAGAAAGUGACGGUAGCCAAGGAGGAAGCCACGGCUAACUACGUGCCAGCAGCCGCGGUAAUACGUAGGUGGCAAGCGUUGUCCGGAAUUACUGGGUGUAAAGGGAGCGCAGGCGGGACUGCAAGUUGGAUGUGAAAUACCGCAGCUUAACUGAGGAGCUGCAUCGAAAACUGUAGUUCUUGAGUGGAGGAGAGGUAGGCGGAAUUCCGAGUGUAGCGGUGAAAUGCGUAGAUAUUAGGAGGAACACCAGUGGCGAAGGCGGCCUACUGGGCUGUUACUGACGCUGAGGCUCGAAAGUGUGGGGAGCAAACAGGAUUAGAUACCCUGGUA
rnacentral:rRNA from 1 species